AGUGAACGCUGGCGGUGGGCCUAACACAUGCAAGUCGAACGGCAGCACAGUAAGAGCUUGCUCUUACGGGUGGCGAGUGGCGGGCGGGUGAGGAAUACAUCGAAAUCUACUUUUUCGUGGGGGAUAACGUAGGGAAACUUACGCUAAUACCGCAUACGACCUACGGGUGAAAGCAGGGGAUCUUCGGACCUUGCGCGAUUGAAUGAGCCGAUGUCGGAUUAGCUAGUUGGGGGGGUAAAGGCCCACCAAGGCGACGAUCCGUAGCUGGUCUGAGAGGAUGAUCAGCCACACUGGAACUGAGACACGGUCCAGACUCCUACGGGAGGCAGCAGUGGGGAAUAUUGGACAAUGGGCGCAAGCCUGAUCCAGCCAUACCGCGUGGGUGAAGAAGGCCUUCGGGUUGUAAAGCCCUUUUGUUGGGAAAGAAAAGCAGCAGGUUAAUACCCCGCUGUUCUGACGGUACCCAAAGAAUAAGCACCGGCUAACUUCGUG
rnacentral:rRNA from 1 species